UACGUAGGGUGCGAGCGUUAAUCGGAAUUACUGGGCGUAAAGCGUGCGCAGGCGGUUUUGUAAGCCAGAUGUGAAAGCCCCGGGCUUAACCUGGGAAUGGCAUUUGGGACUGCAAGGCUUGAGUGCGGCAGAGGAGACUGGAAUUCCUGGUGUAGCAGUGAAAUGCGUAGAUAUCGGGAGGAACACCAGUGGCGAAGGCGACUUCCUGGCCUGUUCUUGACGCUGAGGCGCGAAAGCUAGGGUAGCAAACGGG
rnacentral:rRNA from 1 species